rnacentral:rRNA from 1 species
UACGUAGGGUGCAAGCGUUAAUCGGAAUUACUGGGCGUAAAGCGUGCGCAGGCGGUUAUGUAAGACAGAUGUGAAAUCCCCGGGCUCAACCUGGGAACUGCAUUUGUGACUGCAUGGCUAGAGUACGGUAGAGGGGGAUGGAAUUCCGCGUGUAGCAGUGAAAUGCGUAGAUAUGCGGAGGAACACCGAUGGCGAAGGCAAUCCCCUGGACCUGUACUGACGCUCAUGCACGAAAGCGUGGGGAGCAAACAGG